GCUUGUCUCAAAGAUUAAGCCAUGCAUGUCUAAGUAUAAACACCUUUAUACUGUGAAACUGCGUACAGCUCAUUAAAUCAGUAAUAAUUUAUUUGAUGGUGACUUACUACAUGGAUAACCGUAGUAACCUAGAGCUAAUACAUGCACAAAAAACCCAGACUUACGAAUGGGUGCACUUAUUAGAUAAAGCCAACGCUGGGUAAAACCAGUUUCCCUUGGUGAUUCAUAAUAAUUAAGCGGAUCGCAUGGCCUUGUGCUAGCGACAGUCCACUCGAUUUUCUGCCCUAUCAUGGUUGAGAUUGUAAGAUAGAGGCUUACAAUGCCUACAACGGGUAACGGGGAAUUAGGGUUCGAUUCCGGAGAGGGAGCCUGAGAAACGGCUACCACAUCCAAGGAAGGCAGCAGG
rnacentral:rRNA from 1 species